GGAAGGACGAGAAGACUGGGUUAC
rnacentral:piRNA from 1 species